rnacentral:lncRNA from 1 species
GCUUAGCAUAAUGUCAGUACAUUUUCACUAUUAGUAUGAAACAUACAUAUGUUUGUGAUCAUUUCAUAUUUGUGAUGACUGAUGAGUGUAAUUUGAAGUAUUAAGUCACUAAAGUGAUGUCAUAUGCUUAAGAAAAUGAAAUUACACGUAGUACCAACCCCCCGGUUAUGGUAAAAACCACAUUUUUAAGAAGUGGAGUCAAUCAGAAGACAAGAAAAAUAUUUUUUACAGUAGUAACAGUACUGGAGUUUUCAGAUAGAAAUUGUAUGUAAUGUCAAAUUUAUCCAAGGUAGUUCUGCUUGCUGCUGGUGGCUUUGCUGUGAGUAUAAUCCUGGUUGUUCAUAUGUCACAAGAUGCAGACAGGAAGAGACUAAGGGAAGGUGUAAGGAGGGAUUUAGAGCGGCAGAAAAGAAAACAAGAUAAUAUAACAGAAUUAGAACAACAGCAAGAACUAACAAGAAUAUUGGAAGAACAACGAAGUAAAACGUGAAGGAUGCAAAGAAUGGCAGAAAAAUUAAAGGGAAGGAAAUCCAAGGAAUGUGCAGAGAUUUUGGAAGACUAAAAAGAAAGAUAUGGAACAGAAAUAAAAUGUCAGCAAGAACUGACAAGGAUAUAUUUAGGACAGAAAAAAUAUGAAGAAAGGCAAAGACUAGCAGAUUAUUUAAACGUAAGGAAUAUGGCAGUGGCAUAGUUAACUUUGGGCUAUGAAUGGGCACCUAGCUGGCUUAAACUAAAAACCACCCCCUGGUCUUGAGGUACAGUAGGCUGUAUUUCUGUUUAGGCAUUCAUAAACAAGUAAACAGAACACUGCAUGUAUGGUCAUUCAAAGAUGAUGUCAUCAUGUCCAGAACUUUAUCCUGUCUUCGCCUAGAACCAUUAAUUAUAAACAAUUGCCCAAACUUCAACUCUUUGUCAUCCUUGCUCAGGGCCCUUGGGAUUUGCCAGGCAGUGCCCGAAGGAGUUAUGUCAUUGAUGUAUGGCACAAUUUGGAUACUGCAUGUACACAAAAAAGAAAUUUAAGGUUAGUAAUGAAGCUGAAAAAAAUGACAAGCAAGAACUAACCAGACUAUAUUGGAAAAACAAAGAAGUAAAAUGCAAAGAAAAGUGAAGACUGACAGAUUAAGAGAAGGGGUACAUAGAAUUUUUAAAAGACAGAAAGAUAUUGAAACAUAAUUUAAAAAUGAUAGCAAGCAUUGACAUCAUGAAGAAUAUAUUGGAAGAACAAAGAAUAUAUGCAGAAGGCAGACUGACAGAUUAAGGGAAGAAUGAAUAUAAAAUAAUGAAAAAUAAUGAAACAGAAUAUAAAACAACAACAAUUAUAUUUUAUAAACAUUGAAGACUGACAUAAGAUGUCAAGGAAGCAAAUAAUGACAGAAGGGGCCCGAAUGACAUCCUGUGGCAAAAUUUGGAAGGAAAGAUAAAUAAGAAAGGUAAUGGAACCAAAUUAAAACAUUGCAAAAGCUGCCAAUAAUCUUGAUUAGAAGAACAAAAAAUAAAACAUAAUGAAUACAAAGACUGCAAUAAUUAUUCUUUGGUCAAGAUGUAUAUUCCAGGAGUAUACUGUACCCUCUCCUGGCACUGACUUGUACCCAGUCCCUCAAAUGAGGAUUGAAAAAAAAUGGUGCAUGAUUGGGGAUGGUCAAAAUUUGGGUCAAUUUUUCUUCGUCAUUCCCAUCACAUGUACAAUAUGUACUCAUUGACUCAGCAUCUGGCAUGCCCAGACACACCAUGACAAUUGUGUACAAGGGGAUCAGGCUUUUCUAAGAAACUUAGACCUUUGAGGAUGGAAUAUUUUAUAUACGUAAAUGCAUUGUCAGAUUUUGAGCGGAGGUGCAGAGAAAUAUGCCAGCAUACACACCUGCCCUGAGAAUUUUUUCUUGUGUUUGCAGGUUAGGUGCUGGGCUUGAUUGAGUCAAAAUUUGACUCAAAUUGAACAGUUAACUUGAAUGAUUGUUAUUAAAUUUUACAUGUGGCCAAGGUCUACACUUCAAGUGUAAUAAAGUUCUUCCAUAAAAUUGAAAGUGCUACUCAUUCAUCUAUGUGUCAAUCACCAUUUUAGUACACAC